AAAAUGGUGAAAUAUGACCUUCCCGGUACAGUCCGCUGGAAAAAGGGAAGAAAGCCUCGGAUGGCCAUGAGUGCAACUUUCUAAAUACAGUGUGCAGUGAUCAGUUCCCAAAGAUGGUUCUUACAAGGAGAAAAUCCAGAAACUAUCAGUUGGCUACCUUGAUGUGAUCCUCUUCAUGAGGAAGCUUGGACUUCUCCCUGCUUCACGGAUGGGUUAUGAGAUAGUCCAGAGAAGCUGCAUUCUAAGAAGCAUUAUGACCUGUCUUCUUAGAAACAACAUGGCAUCACUUUUACCACAUUCUUUUGGUCACAAGGAGAGGGAAUUACACAUCACCUGAUUUUGGAUGCAUGUGUGAGGUAUGCUACUCUACUCACAAGACAUCUGAAACUACACCCAGAUCAUCUAGAAGUUAACACGUUCCAGGUGAUGUCUCUAUGUAAACCAAGGGUUGGUUUUCAGUGGAUUGAAAAUGCCCUUCAAACACUGACCCUGUCACAUUGCAGACGCCUUCAGGAUGCGUUAGCACGAAGUACCCUGGCAACCACAGUAUCAACUACAAAGUCAGAAAUUGACAGGCAAAUAAACCAAGUCUUCAAAAUGUGAAAGAUCUGCCCAAAUACACAAAUGGGAUUGGCAUGGUAUGGAUGGAAGUGAAGAAAAAUGUUCCAGGUUGGUUGUGCAAGACUUUCAAAAUGAAAAAAAUUUGGCCUAUUCUUUGGAGAAGAAAAAGUGUUAUGUCUGCCUCGAAUACAGAUAUUCCUAUUUAUAUGAAAAUAAAUAACAGGGAACUUAACCUUCUACUCGUCAUAAUCUACUGAGUACAUCCAUUGCCAGGGAAUUGUACAGCACAUUUUAUGGUGUUUCAGCUUUGAAGCUGCAGGACAAUAAUAACACGAAGGCUGGCCACUUUGUUUCAUGCCUCCUUGACCCGUGUAUUCCAUCAGCAAUUGAGAGACAGAUGCAUGGAAAUCACAGAUGAAGAUGAAAAUACCACCUUCAUGGCCAGUCAAGUGUUGAAGAAAGAAUGUGAUUUAGAUGCAGCCAAUGGUACCUACAAUUACACUCCAAAAAAAUGGAACUCACUUCAAACUAAGGGCCCAUUCCAUGGAGGAGAGGAGAAUGAGAAUGUAGAACAGUCAGAGAAAGGUAGAGAAAGGAAGAAUCCCAGCCAAUUCUUGAAGCUUAGCUUUAAAUCCAGCUUGUUCCUAAACACUCAGCAACCAGGAGUGUGACUAAUCUUCAGGAGGGGAAGAAUAAAUGCAGAAACUGGUGGUUUUACUUUACUUACCUUGAAAACAGGCCCAAAAUUGGGAAGGGGAGUUACAAGGGGAAAAAUUAUUCCCUGCUAAUAUUUUUCAUUUUACUGUCACAAUAUUAAGAGAUGUCUGUCGGAGGAAAAAAGUUUGAUUUCCCAAAGACUGGUUUCUAUACAUGGGAGAGAUACAUGCCAUAGGAGAGAAAAUUGUGAGAAUAUUCCUGGCCCCUCUUUACUUCCUCCUACUCCCCAGUUCUUCCCUAAAGAAGAUGCAACUUAUCUGAUUGGUGAAUUUGGAGCAAGAACUAAGCAAGCUUCGUUUAGCCUCCUCUGGCUCUUCCCUUUAUAUCUGCUUCUCUUCUGAGAAGGUGUUCAUCUUGGAAGUCAACGCACUUCAGUGGGAUCUGCCUUUUAGAAAAGCGGGAGGCUAUCCUCUGGUGCUAAGGACAAGUAGGUUAUGCUCAAAAAUUCAGGGUGAAGCAUGAGAAAGUUCACUGUGUCUACAUAUCUAAGCAUACCUCCAUUCAGCUUUAACAGUCAUACAGCUGGCAUUUUUCACAUUUUAGCAUCAUUCUAGCUGUCCUAACUCUCAAUCAAUCCCAACUCAGGAGGAAAGGAAUGAAAACUCACCGACUUCGACCUUAGUCUGCAGCCUUGAAAAACUGGCAUUUCGGUAGCAACACAGCACAGGUUUUUCAAGAUGACAGAUAUGACCUACAUUGGUGGUUUUAGUUUUAGGCCUUAGGCAUAGAUGAUACUAGACCACCCACUCUGAGAAGUAACGGCUGCUAAUUGUGUCAAGGUUUUACAGAUGCAGAGAUAGUUUUAUUGGGAAACUAGGCUUCCUGGUCCUUAGUGAGAAGCAGCAAAGCACUGAAGAAUAAGCUGCUGUAGGUUACACUAAUGGACUUGCACAGGAACAGGUUUUAUCUUAGCAACUGAAGCUCAAGAUUGGAAUGAGGAGAUAAGCAAGACUUUCACUAUUUGUCAAAACAAUUUCAGACUGGCAGAAUUUUAAUGUAUAGAUCUCCUGGUUUGGCCUGUUAGUAUGAAGAAAGACUGAAGAAUAUUUGUUGUGGUGGCUGUGUCUGCAGGCUGGAAUAAGAUACCAAAAAAGGGAGCUGGCUUCCACAAAGCACCAGUGUGUUGUUCCUGCCAGGCACGGUAGGCAAAUCUAGAUCCCAUGUCACAAGUGCUGUUUCUUUCCAUUUUGAACAGCACUUAGAGCCAAUGAAAAGGACUGGAGUGGGGCUCAGCUCUUUGAUUCCUGAGGUUUGUCAUAAAUCAAGGAUUAAGUCCUCACCAAAUAGUUUCAAAUUGGCUCCAAAGAGUUUAAUUUAAUGGUAUUUGAAUAUGAGCUAAAAUAUCAGAGUCCUAGACAGGCUACUGGAGUUUUCGGUUUGAACCUAAAAAGCAACUAUAUUUUUUAUUCCAAAUCCAAUGUCUAAUCAACUAAUAAAGGUCGGAAAGGCCUGUCGUUGGAAAUUUCUCUUGAAAACUUGGUUUUGCUCAGGAAAUCAAGAAGAAACUAGAUCACCAAGGAAAGACAUCUAAAUGUCACUCUAAGUCCCAAAAUCAAAACAAUUGGAUAAUAAGAC